rnacentral:rRNA from 1 species
UGAACGCUGGCGGCAGGCCUAACACAUGCACGUCGAGCGGAUGAAGGGAGCUUGCUCCUGGAUUCAGCGGCGGACGGGUGAGUAAUGCCUAGGAAUCUGCCUGGUAGUGGGGGAUAACGUCCGGAAACGGGCGCUAAUACCGCAUACGUCCUGAGGGAGAAAGUGGGGGAUCUUCGGACCUCACGCUAUCAGAUGAGCCUAGGUCGGAUUAGCUAGUUGGUGGGGUAAAGGCCUACCAAGGCGACGAUCCGUAACUGGUCUGAGAGGGUGAUCAGUCACACUGGAACUGAGACACGGUCCAGACUCCUACGGGAGGCAGCAGUGGGGAAUAUUGGACAAUGGGCGAAAGCCUGAUCCAGCCAUGCCGCGUGUGUGAAGAAGGUCUUCGGAUUGUAAAGCACUUUAAGUUGGGAGGAAGGGCAGUAAGUUAAUACCUUGCUGUUUUGACGUUACCAACAGAAUAAGCACCGGCUAACUUCGUG